rnacentral:pre_miRNA from 1 species
CACAUAUUUUCUUUGUCUGAAAAUACUCGUCAUUAAAAUAAAUAAAUAAAAAUGUAUCUAAAUGUAUUUUAGUUUUAGAUGCAUCAUUUUUUGUCCAUUUGUAUGACAAGUAUUUUUGGACGGAGUGAGUAGUUG